rnacentral:rRNA from 1 species
UGGGGAAUAUUGCACAAUGGAGGGAACUCUGAUGCAGCGACGCCGCGUGAACGAAGAAGGCUUUCGAGUCGUAAAGUUCUUUUAUAUGGGAAGAUAAUGACGGUACCAUACGAAGAAGCCACGGCUAACUACGUGCCAGCAGCCGCGGUAAUACGUAGGGGGCUAGCGUUGUCCGGAAUCACUGGGCGUAAAGGGUUCGCAGGCGGAAAUGCAAGUCAGGUGUAAAAUGCAGUAGCUUAACUACUGUAAGCAUUUGAAACUGCAUAUCUUGAGAAGAGUAGAGGUAAGUGGAAUUUUUAGUGUAGCGGUGAAAUGCGUAGAUAUUAAAAAGAAUACCGGUGGCGAAGGCGACUUACUGGGCUCAUUCUGACGCUGAGGAACGAAAGCGUGGGUAGCAAACAGG